rnacentral:rRNA from 1 species
AGAGUUUGAUUAUGGCUCAGGAUUAACGCUGGCGGCGUGCCUAAUACAUGCAAGUCGAAUGGUAGCAAUACCAUGGCGAACGGGUGAGUAACACGUAGGUAACCUGUCUUUAAGCCGAGGAUAACCAUUGGAAACGAUGGAUAAUACUGGAUAGGACAUUUGAAGGCAUCUUUAGAUGUUUAAAGAUUUAUCACUUAGAGAGGGGCCUGCGGCGCAUUAGCUAGUUGGUGAGGUGAAGGCUUACCAAGGCGAUGAUGCGUAGCCGGACUGAGAGGUUGAACGGCCACAAUGGAACUGAGAACGGUCCAUACUCCUACGGGAGGCAGCAGUAGGGAAUUUUCGGCAAUGGGCGGAAGCCUGAACCCGAGCAACGCCGCGUGAACGAAGAAGUAUUUCGGUAUGUAAAGUUCUUUUAUUAGGGACGAAAAGACAGAUUGACGGUACCUAAUGAAUAAGCUCCGGCUAACUACGUGCCAGCAGCUGC